rnacentral:rRNA from 1 species
GAUGAACGCUAGCGAUAGGCUUAACACAUGCAAGUCGAGGGGCAGCAUGGUCUUAGCUUGCUAAGACUGAUGGCGACCGGCGCACGGGUGCGUAACGCGUAUGCAACUUGCCUCACAGAGGGGGAUAACCCGUCGAAAGACGGACUAAUACCGCGUACACUCUAUUUUGGGCAUCCAAGGUAGAGGAAAUGAAAUUCGCUGUGAGAUAGGCAUGCGUCCCAUUAGCUAGUUGGUGAGGUAACGGCUCACCAAGGCGACGAUGGGUAGGGGAACUGAGAGGUUGAACCCCCACACUGGUACUGAGACACGGACCAGACUCCUACGGGAGGCAGCAGUGAGGAAUAUUGGUCAAUGGGCGAGAGCCUGAACCAGCCAAGUCGCGUGAAGGAUGACUGUCUUAUGGAUUGUAAACUUCUUUUGUAGGGGAAUAAAGAGGGGCCCGUGUGCCCCAGUGAAUGUACCCUACGAAUAAGCAUCGGCUAACUCCGUG